UUAUUCUAUAUAAAAAACACUACUUGCCACACCUACAACAAAUAAACCCUUACUCAACAAAAGAAGAAAAAAAAACAAAUCCACUUUUCUUAUAUUUCUCAAUAAGAUAAAUCUUGUAAUAGUUUUCACAAACUUCACACCCAUCCAUGCCUCACCUAACUCCCUCUCUGCCCUAUUUUUCUGCUAUCCAAACCUAACCAUCUACCAUUUCCCAUAUAUAUAUAUAUAUAUAUAUGGUGGAUUGG
rnacentral:lncRNA from 1 species